AUCAAAUCAGUGCAGCAGCAGGAGCAGAGGGAGUCAAGAUGCCUGUCACAUCCACCUGAGGAAUGGUCAGCAAGACAAUGCAGCAACCCAGGGAUCGCUUACACCUGAGAAGAACUACCGAACAGCACGUGCCAGAGGUGGAAGUCCAGGUUAAACGCCGAAGGACUGCCUCGCUGAGCAACCAAGAGUGCCACCUGUACCAGCGACGUUCUCAGCAGCAGCAGCAGCAAGUUCCUGUGGUGGAUUUCCAGGCAGAACUGAGACAGGCAUUUUUAGCUGAGACACCAAGAGGUGGUUAAAGCCGUGUUGAAACAUCAAGGAGGUGGAAAUCAAGGAAAACAGCCUUCCCCCAAGUAUUAAGGACCUUGAAAUUUCACUGUCAAGUGGCCCUUGUGGAACAACAAUCAUGACUGUGGGUAAGAGUAGCAAGAUGCUGCAGCACAUUGACUACAGAAUGAGAUGUAUCCUGCAAGACGGAAGAAUCUUCAUUGGCACUUUCAAGGCUUUUGACAAGCAUAUGAAUUUGAUCCUCUGUGACUGUGAUGAGUUCAGG